GCUUGUCUCAAAGAUUAAGCCAUGCAUGUCUAAGUAUAAAUAUCUAUACUGUGAAACUGCGUAUGGCUCAUUAAAUCAGUUAUAGUUUAUUUGAUGAUACCCCACUACAUGGAUAACCGUAGUAAUUCUAGAGCUAAUACAUGCGUCAAAUCCCGACUUUUUGGAAGGGAUGUAUUUAUUAGAUAAAAAACCAACCCUUCGGGGCUCCUUGGUGAUUCAUGAUAACUAUACGAAUCGCACGGCCUUGCGCCGGCGAUGGUUCAUUCAAAUUUCUUCCCUAUCAACUUUCGAUGUUUGGGUAUUGGCCAAACAUGGUUGCAACGGGUAACGGAGGGUUAGGGCUCGACCCCGGAGAAGGAGCCUGAGAAACGGCUACUACAUCCAAGGAAGGCAGCAGG
rnacentral:rRNA from 1 species